rnacentral:rRNA from 1 species
GACGAACGCUGGCGGCGUGCUUAACACAUGCAAGUCGAACGGACAGGCCCUGCUUUUGUUGCGUUCUCGAUUGGCGAACGGGUGAGUAACACGUGAGUAACCUGCCCUUGACUUUGUGAUAACUUCAGGAAACUGGGGCUAAUACCGGAUAGGAUCUCCUGCUGCAUGGUGGUGGUUGGAAAGUUUCGGCGGUUGGGGAUGGACUCGCGGCUUAUCAGCUUGUUGGUGGGGUAGUUGCUUACCAAGCCUUUCACGGGUAGCCGGCCUGGGAGGGUUACCGGCCACAUUGGGACUAAGAGACGGACCAGACUGGUACGGGAGGCAGCAGUGGGGAAUAUGGCAGAAUGGGCGGAAGCCUGAUGCAGCAACGCCGCGUGCGGGAUGACGGCCUUCGGGUUGUAAACCGAUGUCGACUGUGACGAAGCGUGAGUGACGGUAAUGGGUAAAGAAGCACCGGCUAACUACGUG